CGGAUCGGAGUCUGNAACCCGACUCCGUGAAGCUGGAUUCGCUAGUAAUCGCGCAUCAGCCAUGGCGCGGUGAAUACGUUCCCGGGUCUUGUACACACCGCCCGUCAAGCCAUGGGAGCCGGGGGUGCUUGAAGUGCGUCGCCGCAAGGCGCGCCCUAGAGCAAAACCGGUGACUGGGGCUAAGUCGUAACAAGGUAGC
rnacentral:rRNA from 1 species